AUAAGAAAAUGUUUCGAUCAAGAAUGUUGCUGAACAGAGCUGAGUUUUAUGGAAUGACUUACACACAAAUACUUUAGCAGGAAGGAAAUCCAUUGUCCUUGCUGGCGUGGUAAGUCUUCAGUCCUCCCUCGGAAGCGGCCCGCUAGCACAACUCCCUCGCAGAUCAAGAAGCAUCUCCACCACCGCCGUCACCAGGAACACCCACAGUGCUGUGGGAGGAGAGUUCCAGAGUUUGACCCAAACACACCAAUGUCCUGGACAACAUAGGAGGGCUCAUCGAGGAAUUGAACCUAGGACCUUUUGCAUACUCAUUCAAUGAAAAUCCUUAAGCAAGAAUCAUACCCCUAGACCAAAAGCCCAGCUGCUGCUUGGGACACAAGACAUUUCAGAAACAAGACUUGAAAUUUGAAGGACAAUGGAUGUAUCUUUCUGUUAUAUUAUGGGCAAUUUCAGCUCUUCCAGUGGGCCAAGCAGAAAAUAUCAAGGAAAUCAACAGAGGUGAUUCUGAAGUGAUUACCAUCUUAGAGGACAAUGAAGAUGGAAGUGAAGUCAUUAGACAAGGCAUAACCAACGACAGAGCUUUUAAUUAUAUUUUCCAGUUUAUUUACAAAAAGUACAUAAAGUUUUGUAUAUUAGUUCUGAUCAUUAAAGUAAAAAAACCUCUCAUUUC